UACGUAGGGGGCAAGCGUUUGUCCGGAUUUAUUGGGCGUAAAGAGCGUGUAGGCGGCCUGACAAGUCUGCUGUGAAAACUCGAGGCUCAACCUCGAGAUGUCGGCGGAAACUGUCUGGCUAGAGUCCGGAAGAGGAGAGUGGAAUUCCUGGUGUAGCGGUGAAAUGCGCAGAUAUCAGGAAGACACCUAUGGCGAAGGCAGCUCUCUGGGACGGUACUGACGCUGAGACGCGAAAGCGUGGGGAGCGAACAGG
rnacentral:rRNA from 1 species